GCCCUCAAUCCCUCUGUUACUGUGUCACUAUACCCCACUCCCUCUAACAUAUAAACUCACUGAGCAGGGCCUCAAUCCCUCUGUUACUGUGUUACUAUACCCCACUCCCUCUAACAUGUAAACUCACUGAGCAGGGCCCUCAACCCCUCUGUUACUGUCACUAUACCCCACUCCCUCUAACAUGUAAACUGACUGAGCAGGGCCCUCAACCCCUCUGUUACUGUGUCACUAUACCCAACUCCCUCUAACAUGUAAACUCACUGAGCAGGGCACUCAAUCCCUCUGUUACUGUCACUAUACCCCACUCCCUCUAACAUGUAAGCUCACUGAGCAGGCCCUCAAUCCCUCUGUUACUGUGUCACUAUACCCCACUCCCUCUAACAUGUAAACUCAC